rnacentral:lncRNA from 1 species
UCAAGAAACCUGUGAGUGUUUGGGAGGCACCUGGCCUAUCUUCUCUGCAUGUCAAUCAGCACCCAGAGAGACCCUGAAUUAUCCAUAUUCCUUUGAAAUCCUAAGGGUGAUUUCCAGAGGUAACAAAUAGGCAGUAUCACUGUAAUUUACGUAUUUAUUUUUGCAUUGUCUAAAAUAAAACCAAA